rnacentral:rRNA from 1 species
CAGUAGCCGCGGGAAUACGGAGGAUCCAAGCGUUAUCCGGAAUCAUUGGGUUUAAAGGGUCCGUAGGCGGUCUUGUAAGUCAGUGGUGAAAGCCCAUCGCUCAACGGUGGAACGGCCAUUGAUACUGCAGGACUUGAAUUAUUGGGAAGUAACUAGAAUAUGUAGUGUAGCGGUGAAAUGCUUAGAGAUUACAUGGAAUACCAAUUGCGAAGGCAGGUUACUACCAAUUGAUUGACGCUGAUGGACGAAAGCGUGGGUAGCGAACAGGAUUAGAUAUCCGCGUAGUCCCUGUCUCUUAUAC